rnacentral:tRNA from 1 species
AAGGGGGUGUAGUUCAAUUGGUCAGAGCACCACCCUGUCACGGUGGAAGUUGCGGGUUCGAGUCCCGUCACCCUCG